AUGCUGGGAUUACCAAGACAAGAGUAUGUGAGUUCACAACAACAAAUUGCAGAUUACUUGACUAAAGGACUGGGAACUAGAAAAUCCAGUUCAGCGUGUGACAAGAUGGGAAUGACAUAUAUCUAUCCCUUCUUGAGGGGGGGUGUUGUAAGUGUGGCCCAUCCUGUUGGCCCAUGUGGCCCAGGCCCAUCCGUGACUGACCUAAAGGGGAUGUGUUCAUCCCUGUUAUCCCCGAGCGCUGCAAUACGAGAGAAAGCAUAUGCUGCUGCUGGUACGUCUCUCUCUCAUCCCUACAUAUAG
rnacentral:rRNA from 1 species